rnacentral:lncRNA from 1 species
GCUUUAGGCCUUACCUUACUCUUUAGGGGUUUACUCUUCUACUUAAGUUCCUAGCUAGGCUGAUGCCUUUGCCGAGUCUUAAACUCCGACUCCUAAACUCAAAACUGGCCGGAAAUGCCCAUUUUGAGCUCGCUCAGGCGGAUGUUCCCGCUGAUCUUGACUUUACAAAUAGUCAGCUUCUGUCUUUCCAUACGGAGUCUGGCACUUUUCUUGUCUGUUUUGUCUUUAUGUGGCCGGUCUUUCUUUCCCUUUUUCUGAUCGAAAGAUCUUUUUUGACGCGCUAUCGCUAUAAAGGUUACAACCUAGGCAUUCAAAAGGAGGGUUAUUACAUA